CCUCCUCCACCCGGUGAGGUCAGAUCAGCCCGGGGGGCGGCGCAGAGAGCUACCUGGCUUCCUCAGAGAGAGAGAGAGAGAGAGAGAGAGAGAGAGAGAGAGAGAGAGAGAGAGAGAGAGAGAGAGAGAGAGAGAGAGAGAGAGAGAGUUUGAGAAGUGCUCUGGACUUCCUGGUACGGGACCAUGGACGCUUCGUGCUCCACUUUACCCGGAGAACUACCUGCAGCGAUGUGAUCGAGCCAAAGGGACCGAGUGGAGAGCAAAGGGGGCGACUCCUCUGGUUGUCACCCUCGAACGUUAACCCUUUCACAGUCAUGAGUGCCUCUCGGAGAGACCCAGUGGAGAAUAACCUCACCUGUCCAAAGCCCCGCCCUACCUGGGCCUCUACCUGCCCCCCACUCCUGGACUCCCAACCAUGAGUAAGUUCCUGAUUAUUGAUCAUUGAUUGUUUUCAACACGUCUCAGACCUUGAGACCCUUUUUGAGUGGCUGAUUUUUGGGCGUAUUUGACUUUCCUCCAAUGCCGGAUCGGUUUCUGGGGUUUGUUG
rnacentral:lncRNA from 1 species